rnacentral:rRNA from 1 species
GUAAGUUCAUGCCGUAACGAAUGGUGAACCGCGAAUGGCUCAGGAACCGGACCUAAUCCUCGGGACCGUAUUCCUCACCGCGAGGAGAGUGGAUAACUGUGGCAAUUCUAGAGCUAAUACAUGCAACUGAGGCCGCGAUCGCAGGUCGCACCCGGGAGUCGGGUUACAAACGCGCUCAGCGUUCCAUCGCUGUCGUCGUUCCGUCUUCCCGCGCGGUCCCAACAGAUCGCGUCGACACGGUCGGCCUUCGCAUUGGUCGCGGCGCAAAUAUUAGACUGAGACCGACGACGCGUCAGAUGCCGUCAGCGCCGUUCGCAGUUCGCUGCGUGCCGGUUGCGCGGUGUCGCGCAUCAAUUCGACUUUGGUGACUCUGGAUAACUGUCAGUACGAUCGCACGGGCUUAGAAUCGCUUCUGGCCUUCGCGCGACGGGUCCCCCGCGAGUCCGCCCUAUCAACUGUCGACGGCCCGGUAAGUGCCGACCGUGGUGGCAACGGGUAACGGGGAAUCAGGGUUCGAUUCCGGAGAGGGAGCAUGCGAAACGGCUACCACAUCCAAGGAAGGCAGCAGGCGCGCAAAUUACCCACUCCCGGCACGGGGAGGUAGUGACGAAAAAUAACGACGCGGGACUCUGUCGAGGCCCCGCGAUCGGAAUGAGUACACUUCAAAUCCGUUAACGAGGAUCGACCGGAGGGCAAGUCUGGUGCCAGCAGCUUCUUCCGUUCUUCUUGCCUAUUUUCCUUGCGCGUUCGGGGACGAUGCGACGACGGCGCCUUUGCUUUAUCGCGGGCGUUUUGCCGUUCGCCUCUCGUUUUCGUUGCGGCGCUCCGGUCAGGGUUUGGAGUGUCGUCUCGCUUGGCUAUUCGGUCGGUUCUUACGUCGUCGUGCCGUCACCUCGCCGCGGUCGCGCGUUCACCUCGCGGUUUUGUUUUUCUCUCCCUGCGCGCGCUUGCCUUUUUCUUUUCGAAAGGAGAGGUUCGUCGUCGCCAGGGUUGGAUACGACGGCGUGAUCGGUUUCGUCGUCGCGUCGGUCUCGGCGCGUCGCUUUCCUGCGGCCGCCGUUUUGUCGUCGCGCGCGUCGUUCCGUUUCGCCGCCGAUCCGCACGGUUCCUCCGAGGGUGCUCUUUACCGAGUGUCCGAGGCGGCCGGUACGUUCACUGUGAAAAAAUUAGAGUGCUCAGAGCGAGCCGCACCGGCUUGCAUACGAAAAGCAUGGAAUGAUGGAAAAUGGCCUCGUCCGCGCGUCAUCCGUCGGUCUCCGUUCACGACGAGGCAAUGAUCGAAGGGAGCGAUCGGGGCCACUCGUAUUGCGACGUUAGAGGUGAAAUUCUUGGAUCGUCGCAAGACGCACUGCAGCGACGGCGUGUGGCAAGCACGUUUUCCUCGAUCAAGAGCGAAAGUCGGAGGUUCGAAUACCGUCGUAGUUCCGACCGUAAACGAUGCCGACUGGCGCUCCGCCGGCGUUCGCUUCGAUGACCCGGCGGGGAGCCUGCGCGGGAAACCAUAGUCGGUUCCGGGGGGAGUAUGGUUGCAAAACAGAAACUUAAAGGAAUUGACGGAAGGGCACCACCAGGAGUGGAGCCUGCGGCUUAAUUUGACUCAACACGGGAAAACUCACCCGGUCCGGACACCGGUAGGAUUGACAGAUCGAUAGCUCUUUCUCGAUUCGGUGGGUGGUGGUGCAUGGCCGUUCUUAGUUGGUGGAGCGAUCCGUCUGGUUGAUUCCGAUAACGAACGAGACUCCGGCCUGCUAACUAGCGCGUCGAUUAGUGCUUUUCCGGUAGCGUGGCGGCGCCGAAGCCGUCGUCGGUAAGCUGUCCUGCGUUCGGUUUUUUUCCCUUUUUCUUCGAGCUCGGGCUUCCGUUGCCGUUGCCGUCGUCGUCGCGUCGUCGUCGUCUUCUUCUUUCGCGAGUUCGCUUGCGGAAUGGAGGAAUGAAGGCAGCGCUGGCGGAGGCGGCGGUCGGUUUUUCGGGCUCGGGAGGGGGGGACCGGCGCGAACAGCCCCGGCGUCGGCACGUCGUCGCGUCCGGGCCAGUCGGUUGGCGAACGCAGCGCUUCUUAGAGGACGGGCGGCAGAAGCCGCACGAGCGGACGAUAACAGGUCUGUGAUGCUGUCUGUGAUGCCCUUAGAUGUCCGGGGCCGCACGCGCGCUACACUGGAGGUAUCAGCGGGCGCCACUCCCCCGGCCCGAGAGGGUCGGGAAACCUCUGAACCACCUCCCGUGAUAGGGAUCGGGGCCUGGAACCAACCCCGUGAACGAGGAAUUCCCGGUAGGCGCGGGUCAUCAGCCCGCGUCGAUCACGUCCCUGCCCUUUGUACACACCGCCCGUCGCUACUACCGAUCGAACGGUCCGGUGAGGUCCUCGGAUCUGGCCGACGAGUUCGCAGGCCGUGCGGCGGCGUUUCGAUUCGGCCGUCAGGUCGGUUCGUUGCCGUCGUCGGUGCGCUCUCUGAUGGCCCGGAGAAGACGACCGAACCCGAUCGCUUAGAGGAAGUAAAAGUCGUACA